rnacentral:lncRNA from 10 species
UGAGUCUACUUUAUUUACAGUUAUUUAUCCUUUCUUGAAAACUUUUAGCAUCGCCUUGAUUAAAAUAAGUUCAUAAAAUAAUCUUCACUGUAUUUGUUACAUAUGGCACAGAAUAAUUUAGCACUUUAUAAAUAUGUCUCAUUGAUGCACAAAUGGGAGGAGCACCCUUUGCUGAAAGCAGUACAGUGACUUAGUUCAAUUUGGCUACGGUAGCACUUUAAAAAAUUACCAUGAGAUGGCGCUGUGGCCAAGUAAAUGCAGUAUUCAGAAAAUUGCCAGACUAAACAAAGGGCCCAAAGGUACCAUUUUAUUUAGGAUCAAGAAACUAUAUAUGUGGACCAUUGUUUUCGCCAUCCUCAUAGACUUGUCUUAAAGUUCUUCCACAAAAUUAGAUUAAUUUCCAGUUUAUUUAAAGAGCUGAUAUUUUUGUUACACUUUAAUCUGCUUUGCAGCAAUGGAAGGUCAUAGAAAUAUUAGAACAUGAAUUCACAUUUAAAUAAACAUGAUACAAACAUGCACACAUGUGUAUAUACUGAGUGUUUUCAUUGACUUGCUUUUCGUCCAUAUAAAUAUAUAAAUAUUGAAUAAAGUGCAUGAGAACAUGUCUGUACAUAUAUACAGCUACACAUUUGCCUAUACAGUAUACACUUGAAUAGAUACUUAUGGAAGAAAAAAACACAUACACAUUUGUAAUAUAUAGGUAGUCAAAAGACAUCUAUCAGGCAACAUUAAUGUACAUUCUGAUCAAGAUUGAGUAUAUGGGGGUAGAAUCUGUAAUCUUUUCCCUAAUAUAUAAUGAAAUGUGCAGAGUUACAAGUGAAGGCAAAAUACAUUAGAGUGGAGACAUUUUAACAUUUAUAUUUUCAUCAGUUAGUAUGGUAUAUCAUAAGGAGUAGUUCAGUUCAAAUGCAGCCUUGGUACUAGCAGCAUAUUAUACAUUCUAUCUUUGAAACAGUGAACCAUCUUUCAACAUAUCUAUGAGGACAUAAUGAGAAUUUUAUGCAUUUCCAAAUUACACAAUGACACUUCCCACAUUCUUUAGUUUUCAAAUCUGUAUUUUUUUCCCAAAGGUUUAGGGCAAACACUAUUUCUCAUUCAAUAGAAAUGCUUCAGCAUUGUAAUCAUAUAUAUAACAUUGAUUCUAAUAACAACAUGCAAUUUAACCUUGAGUGUUAUAAUAUCAAGGUGGAUUAACUGUUGUUAAUCUCUUUUUCUCUUUAGUAACCAUUUCAAUGAAAUAUUAUAAUAUCUGCUUUUCUAUUAGGGAGCCCAGUGUCAAUGAGUAAUACUGAAAUGAGUGAGUUUUUGGAGAAAUAGAAGAAAAAUUUUGCUCAAAACUAUGGUAGUUAUAAACUGGCUUGAGAUUGAGGUGCGUAUUUCUAAAUUAAUUGCAAUGUUAAGCCUCAAGUGAUAUUUUCCCCCUCCUUUAUUUGUUUGGUGUUUAUUGGUAACCAAUCAGGAAAACUUAUUUUUAAAACUACUCUCACAGUUGAAACAAACUUGUUUCUGAACCAGGUAAGAAGGAAAUAAGUUGAAAUGAUUCUAAAAAUAAGUCUGUAUAUAUUUUUUGACUAAGACCAUUUCAGUUUAGUCAUUUUCUUUUUUUCUUUCUUUUUUUUUGUGAUAGGGUCUCACUCUGUUGCCCAGGAGGAAAUGGCAGUGGUGUGAACUUGGCUCACUGCAGCCUUGAG